rnacentral:lncRNA from 13 species
GUUCUAUACUCUCAUGGGACUUCAAAAUCUCGCAGGAAGAGAUUUUGAAAUCCCAUGAGAGUUUAGAACAAUCCCUCCUGUGUUGUGCUGGGUGACCCAUCCACUAGGAGCUCUUCCUGUUGGUCGUCCUCCUGCCACUGUUCACUAUCUCUUGCAUACUUACUACACCGUGUCCUUUUUUCCCUCUCAUAGCACUGUGACUGCACGGCAGUGGCUUGUUUUGAUGUCUCAAUCUCUCUAUUAGAACACAAGUUCCUGUGGAAAGCAGUACAGUGGGUAACACUUGUUUCUGCCUCUGUUUUCACCUUUGAGAUUGUAUCAACGGAGACAUGUAGGGCAGUUGGGAAGUGAUUACUUUUGGUGUGAAUAUUUGAAGACAGCUGGGAGUGUUCCAAUAAGGUCCUCUGAACAAACAUCAUGGGAGAUAUUCCUCUCUUCAGACUCCAUAGCUUAGCACUAAAUCACAGUCAGAAAAAGAUGGUCAAAUUUGGUUCACAGCACCUGCCCAGGACCUACUUUCUUCCCUACCUAUGCUACCCAGAGGCGAAACAGCAAAUCAGCACCAGACAGCCACCUAGCUUCAAGAUGACUUGACCUCCAUAAUAAUAGAAGAAUAUUUACCACAGAGACAUUAAGCAUGCUGCAAGACAAGUGAGGAGAUACUUGGGGCAAGAGUUUCAGGGUCCAUGAAAUAAAAAGAAUAAAGAAGGCUACUCUUUAAAGAAG